rnacentral:rRNA from 1 species
CCAAUCGAACCCGGAGAUAGCUGGUUCUCCUCGAAAUAGCUUUAGGGCUAGCCUCAUACGAGUCUUGCGGAGGUAGAGCACUGAAUUUCCUAGGGGGCGUCAAAGCUUACCGAAGAAUAUCAAACUCCGAAUGCCGCGUAGAUGAUGUAUGGGAGUCAGACUAUACGAGAUAAGUUGGAUAGUCGAAAGGGAAAGAGCCCAGACCACCGGCUAAGGUCCCAAAAUGUGUGUUAAGUGGAAAAGGAUGUGGGAUUUCGAAGACAACUAGGAUGUUGGCUCAGAAGCAGCCAUUCAUUCAAAGAGUGCGUAAUAGCUCACUGGUCGAGAGGUCCUGCGCCGAAAAUGUCCGGGGCUGAAACACACUACCGAAGCCGUGGAAUCAUCGCAAGAUGAUUGGUAGAGGAGCAUUCUUAAAGAGAAGAAGCUGUACCGGAAGGAGCAGUGGAUUUUUAAGAAGAGAGAAUGCCGGAAUGAGUAGCGAGAGGAAGGUGAGAAUCCUUCCGGCCGAAUAUCUAAGGUUUCCAGAGUAAAGCUGAUCUGCUCUGGGUAAGUCGGGGCCUAAGGCGAGGUCGAAAGACGUAGUCGAUGGAUAACAGGUUGAAAUUCCUGUACUAUGAUAUGACAGAACUGUGGGGACACGUGUGGAAAGCGGAAGCCGGGAAUGGAAAGACCGGUGCAAGCAAGGUAGGAGACUGGUUGGCAAAUCCGCCAGUCAAUCUGAAGAUGUGAUGCGUACUGAAAUAUAAGUAAGGAAGUCCGUGAGCCAUGCGUCAAGAAAAGCCGCUAUUGUUCAUAUCGUACCCGUACCGUAAACCGACACAGGUGGAUGAGGAGAGAAUCCUAAGGCCGACGGGAGAAGCAUUGUUAAGGAACUCGGCAAAAUGACUCCGUAACUUCGGGAGAAGGAGUGCCAGUGAGAGCUGGCCGCAGAGAAUUGGCCCAAGCAACUGUUUAGCAAAAACACAGGUCUAUGCAAAACCGAAAGGUGAGGUAUAUGGGCUGACGCCUGCCCGGUGCUGGAAGGUUAAGGGGAGAGGUUAGCCGUAAGGCGAAGCUUUGAACUUAAGCCCCAGUAAACGGCGGCCGUAACUAUAACGGUCCUAAGGUAGCGAAAUUCCUUGUCGGGUAAGUUCCGACCCGCACGAAAGGCGUAAUGAUUUGGGCACUGUCUCAACAAUGCACCCGGUGAAAUUGAAAUACCAGUGAAGAUGCUGGUUACCUGCGCCAGGACGGAAAGACCCCAUGGAGCUUUACUCCAGCUUGAUACUGGGAUUCGAUAUUGCAUGUACAGGAUAGGUGGGAGACUGAGAACUGAUGACGCCAGUUGUCAGGGAGUCACUGUUGGGAUACCACCCUUGUAGUAUUGGAUUUCUAACCAGCAGCCGUGAACCGGCUGGGGGACAAUGUCAGGUGGGGAGUUUGACUGGGGCGGUCGCCUCCGAAAGGGUAUCGGAGGCGCUCAAAGGUUCCCUCAGAAUGGUUGGAAACCAUUCGAAGAGUGCAAAGGCAGAAGGGAGCUUGACUGCGACACCGACGGGUGGAGCAGGUACGAAAGUAGGACUUAGUGAUCCGGUGGUAUAAAGUGGGAUUGCCAUCGCUCAACGGAUAAAAGCUACCCUGGGGAUAACAGGCUUAUCACUCCCAAGAGUUCACAUCGACGGAGUGGUUUGGCACCUCGAUGUCGGCUCAUCGCAUCCUGGGGCUGAAGUAGGUCCCAAGGGUUGGGCUGUUCGCCCAUUAAAGCGGUACGCGAGCUGGGUUCAGAACGUCGUGAGACAGUUCGGUCCCUAUCCGGCGUGGGCGUAGGAUAUUUGAGAGGAGCUGUCCUUAGUACGAGAGGACCGGGAUGGACUGGCCGCUGGUGUAUCUGUUGUCUUACCAAAUGCAUAGCAGAGUAGCCAAGCCGGGAAGGGAUAAACGCUGAAGGCAUCUAAGCGUGAAGCCCCCCUCAAGAUGAGAUAUCCCAUAACGUCAAGUUAGUAAGACCCCUUGAAGACGACGAGGUAGAUAGGGCAGAGGUGGAAGUGUGGUAACACAUGGAGCUGACUGUUACUAAUAGGUCGAGGGCAUAACCAA